GUGCUCGCUUUGGCAGCACAUAUACUAAAAUUGGAACGAUACAGAGAAGAUUAGCAUGGCCCCUGCAUAAGGAUGACAUGCAAAUUCGUGAAGCGUUCCAUAUUUUU